GGAAACCUAAUAGACGUCCCUAAUAAUCAAACGGAAGAGUGAAUGUGUUCCGUCUCUUCACCUUCAUCAUCCUUGCCGUUUUCCCUCCUCUCCCUUUAUCGCCAUCAUUUGUGAAUGUCAAGCACACAAAACGUCCAAUUUCAUUCGAUUUUACAAGCAUUUUGAAGCGAAGCAGAUUCACCACUUCAAUCCAGUGGACUCUCAAUUUGCCAAGAAAGGCAAUUAACAAAGGGAUUGGUAUAGAUAAUAUGCAUUACUUUGACGAUGGCCUCUAGACAUAUAAAACUAUAAUGGAAGUUUAAAGAUAAUGAUGUUCCUCAAUGUGCAUAAUGAAACUCUCGGUAUCUAUUUUGAUGAAAAAUAGUGGGGCGAUGAUGAGAAGGUUUUUGUGCGUGAUGAUGAGAAUUUGAACGAAAAGUAUGAGAAUGAGGUUUCAGAUGUUGAUGGUGGUUAUAAAAUUGGUGCUUAUAAGAAUAAUGAUGGACAAAGGAGGAGGGAGGAUGUAAAUUAUAGGGAUUACGGGAGUGAAAUGUUGGUGGAUCAGUGACUGUUGCAAAGGAUGUUAAAAGUUAUCAUUAUCCACUGAGACCUGAUGCUGAGAUUGUUCAUACUACAUAUACUACAUGAGGACCGGGAUAUGUAAAUAUGGAUCAAGCAGCAAGUUUAAUUAUCCUCUAAGAACUACCAUCAUCAAAUAUUAUCAACCCUAAGCUCUAAGCUCUGGUCUGCUGGUUGGUGCGCUUUUUUGCUACUCGCUUGCCGCCGAGUAGGUGAUCUUUGAGCUUUCCUGCCAAUCCGUCAUUCGUUGCUGGUGACGGCGUCAAACGCAAACAAGUUUCUUCUCCGGCAGCCUGACCACAAGAUAUGUUGUUUGUUCCUAGCUUUUGUUGUAUGCAUGGUAAUGUCUUUUUUUAGAUAGAAAGCAAGUUUUGUCAUUUCAGGUGCUGGUUAGCAAGCAAUAUGACCGAGGUUUGCUUUGUUUUAGCUCAACUCUAUCCGGUGUUGGUUGUCUUUAUGUGAAGUAAACAUUCUGACCCAACACAGUAUUUAUUACCAUUUUCAUUAGAUUGUGCAUGUUUGGGUUUUCGGUGCGAUUACAGAUUGUAACUGUUCUAGAUUUUGCAAAACCAGAGGGUUGCCAUCUAGUCCAUACACUCCACAAAUGGCUGUGUAAUACUCUCUUCGCCCACUUGUUUGAUGACCAUGAACGCAAAGCUGUCAUAUCUCAUAAAGAGCGUAGAGGUUCAUGAAUGCAAGUGGGUUUGCUGUUGUUGCAAGUGUUGUGUUGCUAGGAGUGAUGCAGGUUUUGUUGCAAUUGCUACAUCAUUUGUAGAUAGCUUUUGUUUAGAAGUUUUGUAGCUUUAGUACUCCAAUUGAGAACUUAUGUAUGAAUUUUGGUAUGUUAUUGUUA
rnacentral:lncRNA from 1 species